rnacentral:rRNA from 1 species
GUAGGGAAUAUUGCACAAUGGAGGAAACUCUGAUGCAGCGACGCCGCGUGAGUGAUGAAGGCCUUCGGGUCGUAAAGCUCUGUCGCAGGUGAAUAACACAAUGAAGGUACCCUGUAAGAAAGGAUCGGCUAACUUCGUGCCAGCAGCCGCGGUAAGACGAGGGAUCCUAGCGUUGUUCGGAAUCAUUGGGCGUAAAGCGGAUGUAGGUGGCUAUGUAAGUCAGAUGUGAAAGCCUGGGGCUCAACCCCAGAAGUGCAUUUGAUACUGCGUAGCUUGAGUGUCGGAGAGGUUACUAGAAUUGUUGGUGUAGUGGUGAAAUACGUAGAUAUCAACAGGAAUACCGGAGGCGAAGGCGGGUAACUGGCCGAACACUGACACUGAGAUCCGAAAGCGUGGGGAUCAAACAGGAUUAGAAACCCGAGUAGUCC